UGACAUUUUCUUUGCAGGCCUAGCAUACU
rnacentral:piRNA from 1 species